rnacentral:rRNA from 1 species
GAUCGAAAGGUUUUCGGAUCGUAAAGCUCUGUUGUUAGGGAAGAACAAGUGCCGUUCAAAUAGGGCGGCACCUUGACGGUACCUAACCAGAAAGCCACGGCUAACUACGUGCCAGCAGCCGCGGUAAUACGUAGGUGGCAAGCGUUGUCCGGAAUUAUUGGGCGUAAAGGGCUCGCAGGCGGUUUCUUAAGUCUGAUGUGAAAGCCCCCGGCUCAACCGGGGAGGGUCAUUGGAAACUGGGGAACUUGAGUGCAGAAGAGGAGAGUGGAAUUCCACGUGUAGCGGUGAAAUGCGUAGAGAUGUGGAGGAACACCAGUGGCGAAGGCGACUCUCUGGUCUGUAACUGACGCUGAGGAGCGAAAGCGUGGGGAGCGAACAGGAUUAGAUACCCUGGUAGUCCACGCCGUAAACGAUGAGUGCUAAGUGUUAGGGGGUUUCCGCCCCUUAGUGCUGCAGCUAACGCAUUAAGCACUCCGCCUGGGGAG